GACGAACGCUGGCGGCGUGCUUAACACAUGCAAGUCGAACGGAAAGGCCCUGCUUUUGUGGGGUGCUCGAGUGGCGAACGGGUGAGUAACACGUGAGUAACCUGCCCUUGACUUUGGGAUAACUUCAGGAAACUGGGGCUAAUACCGGAUAGGAGCUCCUGCUGCAUGGUGGGGGUUGGAAAGUUUCGGCGGUUGGGGAUGGACUCGCGGCUUAUCAGCUUGUUGGUGGGGUAGUGGCUUACCAAGGCUUUGACGGGUAGCCGGCCUGAGAGGGUGACCGGCCACAUUGGGACUGAGAUACGGCCCAGACUCCUACGGGAGGCAGCGGUGGGGAAUAUUGCACAAUGGGCGGAAGCCUGAUGCAGCAACGCCGCGUGCGGGAUGACGUCCUGCGGGUUGUAAACCGCUUUCGCCUGUGACGAAGCGUGAGUGACGGUAAUGGGUAAAGAAGCACCGGCUAACUACGUG
rnacentral:rRNA from 1 species